CUGUUCUUCAUCCUCUUUCGCUCUUCAACUCGUGGUGGCUUGGGUUUGUCCUGACCCAAAGGAGAAUUAAUCGCUAUUAAAGCAUGUUUACACUAAAUCUAAAACAAAAAUCUGAUUGCUAUUCGUCUAGACCGCCAUGAUAACCGCUCGAGUUCAUCAUGUGAGGCCACCAUGAGUGCCUUCAUGCACACUGUUGAGCUGUUUUCACCGGAAUGGUGAUCAUCUGCAUGUGAACAGAUCCAAAGUCCUGAGGGUCGAAACCGCACAGGUGAUCAUCAGUUUGGAUGCGCUCCAAUGCAGAAGCCCUGAGGGUCCAGACUGCUUGGGUGUGUUCGUUGCUGGAGAAAAUAUGUGGGACGCCUUUAAAAUGGUGAACACCCACAUUCUGAAGCCACUGGGAAUCUGCUUCUGUAACUGGUUCUGAAAGAGCUGACGUCUUCUGCUGGACUUGAACAUUCAGAUGAAUGUGCUGUGAUUUAAUAUUGGAGCUGCUCGACAGUGGAUCGCUGCUUUCAGCAGGGAUGUAUUGCACCGAACAGAACUGAAAUUUGCCAACUUUCACUGAAUGGAAUCAGUUUUAAUUGAACUAGAGCUACACCAGCAUUAUACACCGCUCUCCUGCCUGACUGAUAUGCUGGAACACUCCGUCUGAAAUGCUGUUAUGGAUAUGGCUGUCUGAUGCUGGAGUAAAGUAUAUUGUGAUAUGCUUUGCUAAACUGAGUAUUUUUCAAUAAAUGCAGCUUCAUUAAAUGAC